AGACCGCCGGUGACAAACCGGAGGAAGGUGGGGAUGACGUCAAGUCAUCAUGGCCCUUAUGACCAGGGCUACACACGUGCUACAAUGGUGGGGACAAAGGGCUGCAAGACGGCGAGGGUAAGCCAAUCCCAGAAAACCUAUCUCAGUUCGGAUUGGAGUCUGCAACUCGCCUCCAUGAAGUCGGAAUCGCUAGUAAUCGCGGAUCAGCAU
rnacentral:rRNA from 1 species